GACAUGGGCAGAAGGAGAUGCAGGCUCCCUGCAGGGAGCCUGAUGUGGGACUCAAUCCCAGGACCCUGGAAUCAUGCCCUGAGUCAAAGGCAGACAUUCAACUGCUAAACCACCCAAGUGUCCUCAAUUUCUGAGUCAGUCAGAAAAAGUCACAUGAACCUUCCUACCAGGAGUUGGCCACAUCUCAGAUUGAUUCUACUUUAUCCGGCCGGGUUGGUGGAACCCUUUGGAGCACGGAGUCAAACUUGACACCUACCAGCUGCAGCUUGGGCAACUCUCUGAACCUCCAGAAGCUUGCUUUACCAUCCUAAGGAGGGAAAAAAAAGUCUUUCUUUAAGCGGCAGGGUUACCUUUGAAAAAAAACAAGCACGAGACGGGAUACUGGCCCACCACAUGGCAAUGGCCAUCCUCUCCCAUCCAAACCCGCUUUUCGUCCCCGCAACCGCAUCCUCAAGAAGCCAGAGGACGUGGUCUUCAGCCCUUUGACUACUGUGCGCUCUCCAAAGGUUAGAAAGUAUGUGCGUGCAGGCAAGGGAGGCUGGGUUACUGCCUUGUGGGAAUUCGCUGCCAAUUUUGCCCUUGCAUUUCACAUUUUCCAAUUCGUUAUUUUUGUUGAUCAAAUUCCAGUCACUUCAAAGGAUAUACUGAGGAUGUGUAUCAUUUUCCAGAAUUAUUUUAGGUAGUGUCAAUGUGACUUUACUAAGGAUGUUAGGGAAUCAGCGGGGCUAUGCGUGUGCACGUGCGUGUGCGUGCACACAACACCCUGACACAGUCCCUCUCACAUGUGCCCUUCCCGCCGCCCCAGUCUCACCCCACAGCAAACACGAUGAAUUCACAUCCUGGGGAGGGGGGGUGCACCACCAACAAACUCCGACCGGAGGAAACAAUUUCAAUUCAAUCAGAGGCCUCCUGCGGUUGGAGUUUACGAGGACUGCUGCCAAAUCCCCCUCUCUUGGCGGACAAACUGUGCAGACUUCAAGCCUGUUGGGAGGGUGAGGCGAGUUUCUUACUUUCAAAAGAGGGUCGAUCCAAGAUGUUUGUAUUAUUUCAACACUGUUUUUCCUAUGG